AGGUGACCUGCCUUGAAGUGGGGGAUAACCAUUGGAAACGAUGGCUAAUACCGCAUGGGCUGGUGAUGAUGGGAAUCAUUAUCAGCAAAGCUUUAGUGCUUUGAGAGGGGCCUACGGCCGAUUAGCUAGUUGGUGAGGUAACGGCUCACCAAGGCGAUGAUCGGUAGCUGGUCUGAGAGGACGAUCAGCCACACGGGAACUGAGACACGGUCCCGACUCCUACGGGGGGCAGCAGUGAGGAAUAUUCGGCAAUGGGGGCAACCCUGACCGAGCAACGCCGCGUGGAGGAUGACGGUUUUCGGAUUGUAAACUCCUUUUCUCAGGGAAGAGCGAGGACGGUACCUGAGGAAUAAGUCACGGCUAACUACGUGCCAGCAGCCGCGGUAAUACGUAGGUGGCAAGCGUUAUCCGGAAUUACUGGGCGUAAAGCGCACGCAGGUGGCGGCUUAAGUCUGACGUGAAAGCUCCUGGCUUAACUGGGAGAGGUCGUUGGAGACUGGGCGGCUUGAGGCGAGGAGAGGGGUGUAGAAUUCCCGGUGUAGUGGUGGAAUGCGUAGAGAUCGGGAGGAAUACCAGUGGCGAAAGCGGCACCCUGGCCUUGGCCUGACGCUCAGGUGCGAAAGCGUGGGGAGCGAACGGGAUUAGAUACCCCGGUAGUCCACGCGGUAAACGAUGAAUACUAGGUGUAGGUGGUCUCAAAACUAUCUGUACCGCAGCUAACGCGCUAAGUAUUCCGCCUGGGGAGUACGACCGCAAGGUUAAAACUCAAAGGAAUUGACGGGGGCCCGCACAAGCAGCGGAGCGUGUGGUUUAAUUCGAUGCA
rnacentral:rRNA from 1 species